GACGAACGCUGGCGGCGUGCUUAACACAUGCAAGUCGAACGAAGUGGCGAACGGGUGAGUAACGCGUAAUCAACCUGCCCUUCAGAGGGGGACAACAGUUGGAAACGACUGCUAAUACCGCAUACUGUAGGAGGGGAUUGCGUCGGAUUAGCUGGCUGGAGGGGUAACGGCCCACCAAGGCGAUGAUCAGUAGCGGGGCGGGGGGGUUGAACGGCCACAUUGGGACUGGGACACGGCCCCGACUCCUACGGGAGGCAGCAGUGGGGAAUCUUCCGAAAUGGACGAAAGUCUGAGGGUGCAACGCCGCGGGAGUGAUGACGGCCUUCGGGUUGUAAAGCUUUGUUAAUCGGGACGCGGUACCGGAAUAGAAAGCAACGGCUAACUACGUGCCAGCAGCCGCGGUAAUUC
rnacentral:rRNA from 1 species